UGCCGCCGUGGCGGAAUUGGCAGACGCGCAUCGUUCAGGUCGUUGUGUGGUUUUCCACAUGCAAGUUCGAAUCUUGUCGGCGGCAG
rnacentral:tRNA from 1 species